GUCUUCGGCCAUACCAACCUGAAGGCGCCUGAUCUCGUCUGAUCUCAAAAGCUAAGCAGGGUUGGGCCUGGUUAGUACUUGGAUGGGAGAAUGAGUUCCAGGACAGCCAAGACU
ensembl:rRNA 5S_rRNA 5S ribosomal RNA